CGGGGAUUGCAGGCUCCCCGCAUAUCCAAGACGCCGGUGCGUCCAAGCUCUGC
rnacentral:ncRNA from 1 species